rnacentral:lncRNA from 1 species
AUCCAUGGCAGCUGCAGUGGCAGGUAAUGUCUUACAAUAACAGAAUGCAGGAGAGCACAUAUCAAUGAAGAAAAGACAAAAUGUACUUAUCCAUGAAGCUGAGGUUAAGAAACCAGUGUCUUCAAGAGCCAGGGACAGCACUGGGUCUGUGCAGAGUUGAGAGAUGGUGAUGACAUGUGGUUUCCAGCAUUCCUCACCCAGUCCAGGGACACUGUGGGUGUGCCCAGCUUAAGUCCAGUAACUGGAAAUACAAGCCCAAGUUCUGGAGAGUUUGAGCUGCAGAGAUAUAUAUGGGAACACUUUGAAUCUUGACUCAUUGGCCAUAACCAGCAGAGUGGAAAAUACAAGAAGAGAAAAAAACAUUGAACUGCGAUUUUAUAACAUCCUUUACUAGGCAGAGAGAAGAGGAAACACCAGGAAAGAAAACUGUAUUACGAUGUGAAAACUUAAUGUUGAGAAAUUCAGGCAUCUUGGGGUUAGUGAGGAGAAGUUUUAGGGGCUUAGAUUCUUCUAAACACAUGUACAGAAAUGCAUAUUUCAUCUGAUAUCAAAUGGCAUUUAUAGUGCUAAUCUUUACCUCAAGACUUCACAUCUUUUGGUGAUUGCAUCUUUUAGGUUUAUAGCAGCUAAGUUUGCAUGAAAACACCAGGGCUGUUUCAUUUCAGUCAAGAAUUAAUGUUCAUUGAUUGUGCUUCUGCAUUUCAUGUAACUAUUGUAGAAUUUGUUUUAGUUUUAUGAGGGAAUAAUUGUUCCAACUUCUAUAUAACUCAGGAAUUUACUCUCAAACAACACUGUCAAUUAGUUACUUAUCUCUCUGGAAAUGAUCUGGGAACAUGGAGAGGAAAGGGAGGAAGGGGCAAAAUCUGACCACUUAAAUCUAAGCAUAUUAGAUCAUUUUAUGCUAGAAAGUCCUGAAUGAUGUGACUUUCGUUCUUGUAAAACACCUCUUUCCAUAGAUUCAUGGCCCAAACAGUAUAUAAAGAGUGGGGAAGGAACUGCAUUUGCAAAUAGUUCAAAUCAUUGCUCCAUCUUAACUACGCAGUUCACAAAGUGUGAAGAAAUGUGAUCAUCUCAAAAAAGAUAAUGGGGAAAAAAUAUGUUUUGUUCUGUGACUUUAAAGUCUUGCAAUAUUUUACAUAAAUGAUAAUGGGUGCUUUAAUAAGAACUCUUGAUACUUUUGUUAUUGUAUUCAAUAUAUGCAUAUAAUACAACAGGAUGAUAUUGUUUUGGAUUUGGAAAUGUAUUCUUUCUUAUGCAAUCUUAUGCAGUCAUACUGCUUGAAUAUCAUUACCUGAAUUUAUCUUUCUUUUUUUUGUUGUUGUUUUACACUCUACUUAUUUGGUGCCUGUCAGUCUUUUGUCGUCAGUUUAUAUUCUACUAAACUCAAAAAGACAAUCUCAUACCUUUUGUAAUUGUAGGCAUUCUUUACUAGAUUUUUAAAUACACUUCAAAAAUUCAAGUACUUUGAUUUCAUGCCAUCAAGUAGCUGAAUCUAUCCCCCCGUCUCUUUUUAAAUUUAAGUGAGUAGUUCAAUUUCUGUCACUUUCUACUUUGUGAAUUCUAAAUCUUUUAAAACCAUCUUGCCAUUUUUCGUGCACUUACCCUUACAGAAAACUCUGUGAAACACUACUUAUCUCUACUUUUAUGUUUUUAACUCCUUUUUUAUAUUACUAUUCCCUCUGCUUUCUAAAUGCACAUAUUAAUUUGUUCUUUUUAUUCUCUGUAGCUCUUCUCAGUGUAUGAAUUCAGUUUCCCAUCAGUCUCCAUACAAUUAAAAAAAAGUUGAGUAUUCUGUUAUUUUAAUAAGAUAUCUAGUGCCCAUAUUCUAAUUCUGCCCCUUAUUUUUAAUAUAAUUUUAUUGUUGAUUUAAAAUGACAACAGUUUCAAUUCCCAGAAAGUGAAAGGAAACAAAGGAAUAAUAUUAUAGGCUUAAUUUUUAUCAGUGAACUUGUAGGUGAAGAAAAGAUUUGGGGAAGGAAAUGAACAUAUUAUAUUGCAAAAUAGUAAGGAACAAUCAGAUGUGUUUUCUAGUCUCUGGAAAAGCAUGUUUCAAGAAAUUCAAUGAAAAGUUCAUCAUGCUUGCUUAGAUUGUUGAGAAGCAAAAACACUGAUGAACAUUUGGAAGCAAUGAGAAUGUAAUUCUAAUCAUACUCUUUUAAUAAUGUUGCAAAACUCUCCAAACACUACUCUGUGUGGAUGUCUUUCAGAAUAUGAUGAAUACUAGUAGUCUUAUUCUGCCCUUUUCUCUCUAUCACAAUAUAUACAUUCUAUAUUGCAUACACAUAUUUUCCAAAUAUUACAUAUAAUUUCAUGUAAUUUAUAGACCUAUUAAGGCCCAACCAUUUUCUUGGAUAGGGGAUUCUUUAGAAGUCCAGCUUAAAUAAAGCCCGUAUAGAAAGUUUUUUUAAAAUUUAUACAUAAUCACCUAAAGUAACCUUAUCUACUGAACUCUUAGUACAUGCUACUGGAACCUUUUAUCAUGUUUCUUCCUGGCUUGCAUUACAACACUGUUGACAUAUCUCAGCCUUACUUCUAGGCUUCUUUGAGAGCAUGACUCAUGUUUGUAUUCCUCACUGAGGUUGAAUGAAUAAGAGAAACUACAGUAGUAGGAAAAAACAGUACAUGUACAUAUCAAUGAAUAUGAAAGGGUCAAAUGGAUCUAUUAUAGUAAGCACAAAAUCAACUGACACCAGCAAAGUAAACCCAAAAUUUUUAAUGGUAUUUUAAUAGAUCAAGAGGAGCAAGCAGAUUUUUGAGACAGUUGUCUCCUACUUUCUCUAUCACAGGGAGUAAUUUUAAAAGAAAAAUGGAGGGUAAGUUUCUUUAAGAGAAAAUUGUAGUUUAAAACAGGUCAUGGGAUAAUUAGAAAUAAUUUAAUUUCUUUAGAGGAUUUUAAUCUUUCAACUGCUUGCAAUUAGAUCCUAAGGCAAUAAAAGAAUAAGGAGAUUUGGAAAACCAUUGUCUGUAAUCUCUGAAGAAAAGUGGACAUUAGGGGAGUCAGUUGAAAAGCAAAGCUAUCACCAUUUUCUAAAGAGGAAAAAGGUGAACCUCACAAACUAUAGACCAAAAAAAUAGGACAUCGAGAGAAAGAAUAUGAAGCUAGCAUAGGUUCACAAAGAAUGAGUCAAAUCAAACAACAUGCAUUUUUUAUUUAUAAAGCAUGACUUGUUCAUUGUCAAUUCAUGUUAGCUUAAUCAUUAGGCAUUAAUGCCAUCACUGCAAUGCAUAUGUCAGCAAUAAAUAAUCAAAGACCAGGCUUCCAUCAUUCUGUUUAAUAUCUUCAAGUAAUGCUUAAGUUUGCAAAUGCUCUUUUAACACAUUCUCCAUAUGCAGCCUGCCCAGCACUGCACACAAUAGACCUGUUACUUCCCCCUCACGAGCACUCCUAAUAUUUCAUGUGCUCAUCCAAUUGACUUCUCCCACUGGUGCCUCAUAUUGAAUUUGUAGAAUCACACCUGCUCCUUUUUCAAAACUCUUCUGAGUUUUUUCUUAAAUAAUUCACUGACCCCAAAGUUGUCAGAUAUUUGAAGACUACUCGCACAAUUUUAAUAUUAUAAAUGUAUAAUGUAAAUGUAAUUAAGAUUUGUAUAAUGUACGAUGUACUUUGGUAAAUAAAAGUAUGCUGUGAAUAAAUACGUAUGAUACAAUUCAAAAUUUUACAUAAAUAUGUGAUAAAAUUUAGCUCAUAUUCUUUUUUUUUUUCUUUGAGACGGAGUCUCACUCUGUUGCACCCAGGCUAGAGUGCAGCAGCAUGAUCUCAGCUCACUGCAACCUCUACCUCCUGGGUUCAAACAAUUCUCCUGCCUCAGCCUCCUGAGUAGCUGGGAUUACAGGUGCCCGCCACCAUGCCCAGCUAAUUUUUUUCUAUUUUUGUUGUUGUUGUUGUUUUUAGUAGAGACGGGGUUUCACCAUGUUGGUCAGGCUGGUCUUGAACUCCUGACCUCAGAUAAUCCACCUGCCUCGGCCUCCCAAAGUUCUGGGAUUACAGACGUGAACCACGGUGCCCGGCCUAGUUCAUGUUCUUUAAGGACAAUUAUGAAUAUUUUUAUGCACUGUUAAUUUUCAUUAAGAUAUUGAUCAAUUAAUAGCUAUAUAUGUUCUAUAAAUUAAUCCUAUCUAGUUUCAAUCUUAAAUUGUUUGCAUAUACCAAUCUAGUUUAUUGUUUGCAUAUAUUUUAUAGUGUAGAGAUUAGGCAUUUUAAUAAAAUUUUAAAAUUUCCAGGACAUACUGUUAAUGACUAUGCUUCCUACUAUAGGCCAUAAUUAAUUUUUUUCUAUUGUCAACAAUAUUUUGGUAGGGAUGAUCAGGAAAUAAGGAAAUGUUUCCUUCAUUUGUUAACAAUAGGUGUUUGGGGAUUUUAAAAUGAAAAUUGAAGAAGUAAAAGACACCAUAUAUUUAGUUUGUUUGAUUUCGUGGCUUCAAGAGUUCAAUAAUUUAUUGAAAUAUUUUACAGACCAAAGAACAACAGAUAUAUUACGUUUAUAAGCCCCCACAUAUUUUAAAGGAUAAUGGUUUAUAUAUGAAAAUUCCCUGAACCUACACUUCAUC